rnacentral:rRNA from 1 species
GUAACAAGGUCUCCGUUGGUGAACCAGCGGAGGGAUCAUUACUGAGUUUACGCUCUAUAACCCUUUGUGAACAUACCUAUAACUGUUGCUUCGGCGGGUAGGGUCUCCGCGACCCUCCCGGCCUCCCGCCUCCGGGCGGGUCGGCGCCCGCCGGAGGAUAACCAAACUCUGAUUUAACGACGUUUCUUCUGAGUGGUACAAGCAAAUAAUCAAAACUUUUAACAACGGAUCUCUUGGUUCUGGCAUCGAUGAAGAACGCAGCGAAAUGCGAUAAGUAAUGUGAAUUGCAGAAUUCAGUGAAUCAUCGAAUCUUUGAACGCACAUUGCGCCCGCCAGCAUUCUGGCGGGCAUGCCUGUUCGAGCGUCAUUUCAACCCUCAAGCUCUGCUUGGUGUUGGGGCCCUACAGCUGAUGUAGGCCCUCAAAGGUAGUGGCGGACCCUCCCGGAGCCUCCUUUGCGUAGUAACUUUACGUCUCGCACUGGGAUCCGGAGGGACUCUUGCCGUAAAACCCCCCAAUUUUCCAAAGGUGA